CACCCUUUAAGGUGACGAAUUUUGUGUGGUUGGUUGGAAGGAAUCGAAUUCUCACCAUAGAUAAUCUCCAUUGAAGAUCAAUGGUGCCCCCUGAAAGAUGUGGAAUCGGCAGGUCAUCUUUUUUUGCUCGGUCAGUUCGUGGCUGAAGUUUGAGUAAGCUUCCUCGAGUUGUUUUCGACUCUAUGGGUUAUGCCGAGGUUGAUUGUGGACCUCCUUUGGCUUGGCAUGGGAGAGGGGUCGGUAAGGAUGAGACUCUUUGUUCGGUUUUGGAUGUUAUUAGAAGGGAUGUUAGGGAUUGGGCAUCUGUGGCCAAGCUUGAGGAUGUUUGUAAUCUUUUUUCCUUUGUUUAAUUUGUAGUUGGGUCCCUAGUUGAGGGCUUCUUAGCACAUAGCUUUUUAAUAAAAGCUCGGUUACCUUUCCAGAAAAAAAGGAAAUAAA